rnacentral:rRNA from 1 species
GGUGAACGCUGGCGGCGUGCCUAAUACAUGCAAGUCGAGCGAAUGGAUUAAGAGCUUGCUCUUAUGAAGUUAGCGGCGGACGGGUGAGUAACACGUGGGUAACCUGCCCAUAAGACUGGGAUAACUCCGGGAAACCGGGGCUAAUACCGGAUAACAUUUUGAACCGCAUGGUUCGAAAUUGAAAGGCGGCUUCGGCUGUCACUUAUGGAUGGACCCGCGUCGCAUUAGCUAGUUGGUGAGGUAACGGCUCACCAAGGUAACGAUGCGUAGCCGACCUGAGAGGGUGAUCGGCCACACUGGGACUGAGACACGGCCCAGACUCCUACGGGAGGCAGCAGUAGGGAAUCUUCCGCAAUGGACGAAAGUCUGACGGAGCAACGCCGCGUGAGUGAUGAAGGCUUUCGGGUCGUAAAACUCUGUUGUUAGGGAAGAACAAGUGCUAGUUGAAUAAGCUGGCACCUUGACGGUACCUAACCAGAAAGCCACGGCUAACUACGUGCCAGCCGCCGCGGUAA